CCUACGGGUGGCCGCAGUGAGGAAUAUUGGUCAAUGGGCGUAAGCCUGAACCAGCCAAGUCGCGUGAGGGAUGAAGGUUCUAUGGAUCGUCAACCUCUUUUAUAAGGGCAUAAAUUGUGGGACGUGUCCUAUUUUGUAUGUACCUUAUGAAUAAGGAUCUGCUAACUCCGUGCCAGCAGCCGCGGUAAUACGGAGGAUCCGAGCGUUAUCCGGAUUUAUUGGUUUUAAAGGGUGCGUAGGCGGCCUUUUAAGUCAGCGGUGAAAGUCUGUGGCUCAACCAUAGAAUUGCCGUUGAAACUGGGGGGCUUGAGUAUGUUUGAGGCAGGCGGAAUGCGUGGUGUAGCGGUGAAAGGCUUAGAUAUCACGCAGAACCCCGAUUGCGAAGGCAGCCUGCCAAGCCAUGACUGACGCUGAUGCACGAAAGCGUGGGGAUCAAACAGGAUUAGAUACCCCAGUAGUC
rnacentral:rRNA from 1 species